ACUCCUACGGGAGGCAGCAGUAGGGAAUUUUCCACAAUGGACGAAAGUCUGAUGGAGCAACGCCGCGUGAACGAUGAAGGCCUUCGGGUUGUAAAGUUCUGUUGUCAGGGACGAACAAGUACCGUUCGAAUAGGGCGGUACCUUGACGGUACCUGACGAGAAAGCCACGGCUAGCUACGUGCCAGCAGCCGCGGUAAU
rnacentral:rRNA from 1 species